AGAGUUUGAUCCUGGCUCAGGACGAACGCUGGCGGCGUGCUUAACACAUGCAAGUCGAGCGAUGAAGCUCCUUCGGGAGUGGAUUAGCGGCGGACGGGUGAGUAACACGUGGGUAACCUGCCUCAUAGAGGGGAAUAGCCUUUCGAAAGGAAGAUUAAUACCGCAUAAGAUUGUAGUACCGCAUGGUAUAGCAAUUAAAGGAGUAAUCCGCUAUGAGAUGGACCCGCGUCGCAUUAGCUAGUUGGUGAGGUAACUGCUCACCAAGGCGACGAUGCGUAGCCGACCUGAGAGGGUGAUCGGCCACAUUGGGACUGAGACACGGCCCAGACUCCUACGGGAGGCAGCAGUGGGGAAUAUUGCACAAUGGGGGAAACCCUGAUGCAGCAACGCCGCGUGAGUGAUGACGGUCUUCGGAUUGUAAAGCUCUGUCUUUAGGGACGAUAAUGACGGUACCUAAGGAGGAAGCCACGGAUAACUACGUGCCAGCAGCCGCGGUAAUACGUAGGUGGCAAACGUUGUCCGGAUU
rnacentral:rRNA from 1 species